rnacentral:rRNA from 1 species
GUAGGCGGCUUUUUAAGUCAGUGGUGAAAUCCUGCCGCUUAACGGUAGAAUUGCCAUUGAUACUGAAAGGCUUGAGUUCAGUUGAGGUAAGCGGAAUGUGUAGUGUAGCGGUGAAAUGCUUAGAUAUUACACAGAACACCAAUUGCGAAGGCAGCUUACUAAACUGACACUGACGCUGAUGCACGAAAGCGUGGGGAGCGAACAGGAUUAGAUACCCUGGUAGUCCACGCCGUAAACGAUGUUCACUCGCUGUUUGCGAUACACAGCAAGCGGCCAAGCGAAAGCAUUAAGUGAACCACCUGGGGAGUACGAUCGCAAGGUUGAAACUCAAAGGAAUUGACGGGGGCCCGCACAAGCGGAGGAACAUGUGGUUUAAUUCGAUGAUACGCGAGGAACCUUACCUGGGCUUAAAUGUAGAACGACAGAUUGUGAAAGCAGUCCUUCUUCGGACGUUUUACAAGGUGCUGCAUGGUUGUCGUCAGCUCGUGCCGUGAGGUGUCGGGUUAAGUCCCAUAACGAGCGCAACCCUUAUCGUUAGUUGCCAGCGGGUCAAGCCGGGGACUCUAGCGAGACUGCCACCGUAAGGUGUGAGGAAGGUGGGGAUGACGUCAAAUCAGCACGGCCCUUAUGUCCAGGGCUACACACGUGUUACAAUGGCCGGUACAAAGGGCAGCUACUUCGCGAGAAGAUGCUAAUCUCGAAAGCCGGUCUCAGUUCGGAUCGAAGUCUGCAACCCGACUUCGUGAAGCUGGAUUCGCUAGUAAUCGCAUAUCAGCCAUGAUGCGGUGAAUACGUUCCCGGGCCUUGUACACACCGCCCGUCAAACAAUGGAAGCUGGGGGUACCUGAAGUCU